rnacentral:lncRNA from 1 species
CCUUUCUAUAGCAAACAAUUUUUAAUAAGCCAUAUAUAAAUUUUUUCAGUGACAUAACAUCUUAAAGUUAAUAGUCAGACAGGAAGCCAAACAAUGGGUCAACCCAUGUGCUCGAAUCUCGAUUAUAUAAAAAUAAAUAUUUGAAGCUACUCAAACUGCAAGGGACAUCACAACUACCAGCAACUUGUCACUAUAAUUGGUGAGCUGUGAAAACAUGUUUUAAAAUCCCUAAAGAUAUUAGUGUCUGAGUAUUUCUAAGAGAGUAUAUUAACAUCAAUUAUAACAUAACUUAUCAUUCCCACCUUCUUCUCUCUCCUGCUUAUGCAGCUUUUCCUUUGGUGCAGAAUCGACUGGAGCUGCUUCAAUAUGGAAAUCUACAUAGUGGAAUUAUUUAAUAUAAAGAUACUCAGCAGGAAAAGGCCAUAUUACUAAACACUGCAAGCCUUGCCAUGAUGUAAAACGAAAUCAUGCAUUAUGUCAUAUAUUUGUUGUCACUGUACACUAUAUAACCAAAUAGUUAGCAGUCUUUUUUUCUAAAAAAAAUAAUCAAGGGAUACUUGCACAGAGUUGGAAGUUAAUAGAAAAUUGGGAAAUGGAUUAAAAAAGACAACCUCCCCAUAUAUAGGUAAUGAAAGUGAGAAAUCAUAUAAAUAAUCACGUUAAGAUUGUACACCAGUAUAGAUUGGGUAAAAUGGACAACACGCUUGAGGCAAAUUGUGCUGAUUCCAGAGUCAAGUGCCAUGGAUCAUGGAAUAUGCAAUAAGCAGUAUAUAUCGAUAAUCGAACUGACUCCCCCUUUUAUUUUGUGGCAAAGAAAACAAAGCAUUCUCUUACCCACUCAAAGUAGGUGUCACUUGUCAGCAAGUCAGCAUCAAGUGCGUGAAGAAAAAUCUCACACAGAUUAACACACUCGAAAAUCCUUGACUGUCUAUUUCUGUUUGACAAUCUUAGGACUUCUUUUGGACACUGUAUGACCUUUUCAGUCCACGACUCGUUCAUUCAUCUGGUGGUGCAAGAUCAUUACUAAACUUCAUGCUCAUAUUCAAAACCUAUCUUUCAACUGUGCACCAGUGUUGUUCAGGUAGAUAAAAUGUAUCAAAUUGUACUCUAUGGUUUCAAUGCCAUAACCAUAUUUGCAUACUUUAGUCAUCAAAGAGCCAAUUAUUUACAACAACAAAAAAACUGCAUCAAACCAUUCUUAGCAAGCACACCAAAAAGAAUCUAUGUUCAUCUCGAGCAACAUUAUUGAUAAAGGCAGUACUGAUAUUCUAAUUUCCUUGGCAAAGAAUCACGUGUUAAUCUCUAUUCUGCAUCUGCUGGAUCUCGUAUUGUGCAAUGGUGCUGGAACUAGGAAAGUAAAAGUCAAGUACCAUGAACAUCCAGCUGUUUGAAACUAAUUAAACUCAGAACUUCAGAAACAGAAUGUGGGUGGGGGCGGGGGUUGCAUAGUAGCUCAAACAUGUCUCAAAUAGAACUUAAUGGAGAAAACAUCAAAUAGUCAUGCACCAAUGAUUUUUAACUAGACGAUAUUUUAGAUCUAAAGAUAUACCUCACAAGUAAGCAAAAUAAAGCAAUAGAAAGUAUUACCACCAUCAGAAUCUAAUGGCCAAAUAUGCUUAGCCAAGGCCUAUUUCAUUUGCGAAAUGUAAUUUGAUAUAAGACUUGAUAAAAAUUGAACUUGCUAAAUGCGAUUUAGUAAAAACACUAAUUUGGAUUUUGGACCCACAAUUUCUGGCAUUAAACCAACAAGAGCACUGCCUCUAGUUGGGCAACGCCUUCUUUUCAACAAACAGCAAAAGUCUAUUGUCUCUACUCAUCCCUAAGUACCAAAACAGCCUAUUGCUAGGAUGUGGGAGCUAUUGGUAAUACAGUAUGUCUUGGCUUCAAUGGAAUGCUCUAAAUACGAUCACAGUGGACUCUCAAGUGCUAUAAAUAAAGUUUCAAAGAUAGCGUAUGGCAUUGAUGAGAAAUCUUGUCAAGAAAAUAUAAGUAAUAUAAUUUUCUUUUCCCUUUUCUGCUGCAGUUAGAUAUCUUAUCCACAGAUUUCUUUCUCCUAUGAGGCUUAAUUGAAAGUUCACAUAUGUUGCUAUGCCCUUCACAGACUCUCUGUGAUGGCUAGAAAUCUGAGGUCCUUAGCCAUUAAAUUUCAAAAAUAAAAAUCCCUUAUUUUAUCAACCACAAAGGCACAAACAUCAGUAAUUACUUUUUGAAAUUUUAAGGAUAACUUGAUUUCAAAACUUGGGUAUGAGUUUAAACGUUUUUGAUUUCUAUCUUCUAGAAAAUAUAAUAGUAACAACAAUAAUUAAAAGUUGAAAGAAAAAAAAAUAACGAAGCAACAAGGGUUACAUUACCAAACAUAUGCAGUGCAUCACUGAGAGAUUCAAAAGACAGUCAAAUUGUCCAGACAUUAAGCUUAUGACCUUGAGAAAAUUCCCAACUAUGUACUCCAUGUUAUUUACCUUGUGAACUUGACCAAUGAAACAGCUAUUAUUCAUUUGUCAUAAGUUUCAGAACAAAGAUGGGGCCUUAUUAGUAGUCAGACGGAAUUACUUAUAUUUAAAUUGCCUGUUCUGGAAUUGUCUCGCAUAAUUAAAUAGCGAAGACAUUGACAGUAAAUAAAAAAGACCAACUUUCACUUCCUGCAGCUCAAAUUCACCACCAAAUAGCUUAUAGCAUAAUUCCCAAAAUUACUUUUCGUUAGCAAAAAAAGUCAAUGUAACAAUGUCUAUCCGUUACUAAAUUAACUAAAAUGAAAGUCCGAUUUAGUAACAUGGUUCAAGAAAAGAAAAAGGAUAGCCAAGCUUGGAAUCUUGGAUUGUUGCGAGAAAUUUUUUUAUGUACUAGGGAGGGUCCAGCUUGAAAUUCGGGAAGUUCGGGGGGUCCGAGAUGAGCCGAGAAGAAGAAGGAAGGGGAAGAAAAAAAAAGUAAUUUUUUUUUAUAACUUAGGAUUGGGUUGUUUGACUUGUUUCAGAACUAGCCCACACAAAGAAAAAUAUUUCUCAUGUAGUCAUGUUCGUAUGUAUUUUUUCUAAAAGUCAUGAUGGCCCAUUAAGCCACUAAAGUCAACAUAUUACAUAUGCGAUAUUAUCAAAUAACAAAAUUGCCACCACAAGUCCACACUGAAACAGAAACAGAAACAGAGCCACAGAGCACGGAGGAAUUGUUCGCUGCUGCGGUGCUGCCUGCUAGAGAGUGGAGACUGAAGCGCCGCUGCUGCCUGGCGCCUGCUGCUGUCCUACCGCGGUGCCGCGAGAUGUGAACAGUUUUUGUUCUGAACAUAAUAUUAGCAUCCCUAAUAUGGAAGAUAAUGUUCCAGGUCGCCUUCGUUGCAAACACACAUACUUUCACCACUUUCGAGUUGAGAUAUUUUGUCAGGUAUUCAAUUGUUUUUCUCUAUUUAUACUUCUAAUUAUGUUUUUGAAUAUAGAAGUAAUUUUAUUUUAUAUUUUUUAGGUUGUUGAUCGUAUUAGUCAAGAGAUGGAUAAUCGUUUCACUGAGACGAACACAAAAUUGCUCUUGUGUAUAGCAUGUCUUGAUUCUAAGAAUUCGUUCUCCAAUUUUAGUUUUUCAAAGUUAGUUCGACUUGUAGAACUAUAUCCACAAGACUUUUCAAUGGAUGAUCGAAUGGAGCUUAAAGAACAACUAAAGAUGUGGAUUUCUGAAAUGAGAGGAAAUGCAAUAUUUUCUAAACUAGAAAAUAUCGGAGAACUUGCAACUAAUAUGGUUGAGGUGGGAUAUCACACACACUUUUCAUUUAGUAUAUCUUCUUAUCAAGUUGACUUUAGUUUUGCCUGUUGCGACUGCUAGUGUGGAACGAGUAUUUUCUGUGAUGAAUAUUAUUAAGACAAAUUUGCGCAACAAGAUGGGAGAUGACUUUCUCACCGACUGUUUGGUGUGCUAUGUCGAGAGAUAUAUUUUUAGGCCAAUAAAAAAAUUAAACAGAGGUAUGACAAAUAAAAGUUAAAUUAAAAUUAUGGGUAUCGAAAAGAUUCAAAACCCUCACCUGAUUUCAGCUUCAAUCUCUUCAAUUAUACCCAUCAUAUCUAUUCGAUGAAAUUUAUAAACCCUAACCGCUUUCGAAUUUUUCAGCUAUUAGCAGAUAGAGAUUAAGAGGGGAGAGAAAAUAAAAUAAAAAAUAAAUGGUGAAAAUAUUCCUUUUGGAUCGUGGGAUAAAUAUGUAUGUUAUUAGCCAAAAGGGUAGUGGAAUUUUUCAUAAAUAAUGAAAAUGGUAAAGCAAAUACAACAGCCACGCAUCGUUAAGGAGUAAAGCAGCUCACCUUGUCUCUGAUCUCUCUGCUGUGCUCCUCAACCCCAUCUCUGAUAAACCUUUAUCAAAACCCAUUAUUCAGCAUAUCGGCAUACAAAGUGAGAGAUGGGGAUGGGUGACUGUUCUAGAGUUUUUGUCUCUAAAAUCCAUCAAAAAAUAAUGGACAAAAGAAGAGUGAACGUCAACAAAAUGAUGGAAGUUGAAGAGAGGGUUUAGAGAGAGAGUG